GACGAACGCUGGCGGCGUGCUUAACACAUGCAGGUCGAACGGAAAGGCCCUGCUUUUGUGGGGUGCUCGAGUGGCGAACGGGUGAGUAACACGUGAGUAACCUGCCCUUGACUUUGGUAUAACUUCAGGAAACUGGGGCUAAUACCGGAUAGGUGCUCCUGCUGCAUGGUGGGGUUUGGAAAGUUUCGGCGGUUGGGGAUGGACUCGCGGCUUAUCAGCUUGUUGGUGGGGUAGUGGCUUACCAAGGCUUUGACGGGUAGCCGGCCUGAGAGGGUGACCGGCCACAUUGGGACUGAGAUACGGCCCAGACUCCUACGGGAGGCAGCAGUGGGGAAUAUUGCACAAUGGGCGGAAGCCUGAUGCAGCAACGCCGCGUGAGGGAUGACGGCCUUCGGGUUGUAAACCGCUUUCGCCAGUGAAGAAGCGUGAGUGACGGUAAUGGGUAAAGAAGCACCGGCUAACUACGUG
rnacentral:rRNA from 1 species